AUGCUCAGAGUGAACGCUGGCGGUAGGCCUAACACAUGCAAGUCGAACGGCAGCACAGUAAGAGCUUGCUCUUACGGGUGGCGAGUGGCGGACGGGUGAGGAAUACAUCGGAAUCUACUUUUUCGUGGGGGAUAACGUAGGGAAACUUACGCUAAUACCGCAUACGACCUACGGGUGAAAGCAGGGGACCUUCGGGCCUUGCGCGAUUGAAUGAGCCGAUGUCGGAUUAGCUAGUUGGCGGGGUAAAGGCCCACCAAGGCGACGAUCCGUAGCUGGUCUGAGAGGAUGAUCAGCCACACUGGAACUGAGACACGGUCCAGACUCCUACGGGAGGCAGCAGUGGGGAAUAUUGGACAAUGGGCGCAAGCCUGAUCCAGCCAUACCGCGUGGGUGAAGAAGGCCUUCGGGUUGUAAAGCCCUUUUGUUGGGAAAGAAAUCCAGCCGGCUAAUACCUGGUUGGGAUGACGGUACCCAAAGAAUAAGCACCGGCUAACUUCGUGCCAGCAGCCGCGGUAAUACGAAGGGUGCAAGCGUUACUCGGAAUUACUGGGCGUAAAGCGUGCGUAGGUGGUUGUUUAAGUCUGUUGUGAAAGCCCUGGGCUCAACCUGGGAACUGCAGUGGAAACUGGACGACUAGAGUGUGGUAGAGGGUAGCGGAAUUCCUGGUGUAGCAGUGAAAUGCGUAGAGAUCAGGAGGAACAUCCAUGGCGAAGGCAGCUACCUGGACCAAC
rnacentral:rRNA from 1 species